rnacentral:rRNA from 1 species
GACGAACGCUGGCGGCGUGCCUAACACAUGCAAGUCGAACGAGUGGGAACGGGUGAGUAACGCGUAGGCAACCUGCCCUUUAGACGGGGACAACAUUCCGAAAGGAGUGCUAAUACCGGAUGCUAAAGGAUGGGCCUGCGUCUGAUUAGCUAGUUGGUAGUGUAACGGACUACCAAGGCGAUGAUCAGUAGCCGGUCUGAGAGGAUGAACGGCCACAUUGGGACUGAGACACGGCCCAAACUCCUACGGGAGGCAGCAGUGGGGAAUCUUCCGCAAUGGACGAAAGUCUGACGGAGCAACGCCGCGUGAGUGAUGAAGGAUUUCGGUCUGUAAAGCUCUGUUGUUUAUGACGCGGUAGUAAACGAGGAAGCCACGGCUAACUACGUGCCAGCAGCCGCGGUAAUACGUAGGUGGCGAGCGUUGUCCGGAAUUAUUGGGCGUAAAGAGCAUGUAGGCGGCUUAAUAAGUCGAGCGUGAAAAUGCGGGGCUCAACCCCGUAUGGCGCUGGAAACUGUUAGGCUUGAGUGCAGGAGAGGAAAGGGGAAUUCCCAGUGUAGCGGUGAAAUGCGUAGAUAUUGGGAGGAACACCAGUGGCG